GGGACUUGCCGCAACCAGACUGCCUUACCCCUCGACUGCGGAGGAUGUGGCACUGUUUCCCAGAGAAGCCUUGCAGACAGGGACCUGGGUGACAGAGCCUGCUCCCUCCCUGCUCACUGCCUCCAUUGCUGCUGUAUGGAUCAGAAGAGACUCAAAGAUGUCAGCUGAGGCGAUCUCCUGCCCUUGGGCGCCUGACCCUGUGGACUACAUUUCCCAGGCUCCACUGCGCUCUGGCUUCCUGUGGAUCCAGCCAAUGGAAGUCCCUGACAUUCCAGCGCCUGGGCCUGUGGAUGCUCCCGGAGUAGAAGGCAGUACGUGGGAUCAUGCCGCUGGACGUGUCCUCUUGGCCUCACCAAGUCCUCGUGCCUUGGGGAGGAAUAUGGCGCCGGAGAGCCAGCAUGGCUAUCUGCAAGAGCCCACUCUGAACUCCUUGGACUACAGGGGCUUCAUUCCCCUCUUUUAGGGGAUGAGAAGUUCAGGUCCUUUCAAGCUGAUUUCCUGUCCUCACUCACCCUGUGAUGUGACGGACAGGUCUUUGUCUAAAGAACCAGAACUCCUAAAUUCAAUCUCUGCUGCGGCAUCCCCCUUGGAAGGUUACCUUGUUCCAGAGGGGCAUCUUAGCCUUCCCGGAGCAGGUCCCUUGCCUUGGUGCUCCAGAGCUUCGGACCCAUGACUCACCCACGUGACCCUGCCCCCACACCUGCAGGUGCAGAGCCUGCCACCCUCUUCCUGUUCUAGACCACCCUGGAGGCCCUUACCUCACAGCUGUCCCCUCCCUUCCCGGGCCCUUUGCUGCUCAAGAUUUCAUCCAGGAAACAUGUGGGCAGAUGUUGGCCAACCACUUGGUGGUGGUUCACCCGCGGGGCACCGGAGUAAAUGCACCGCUUGGGGGAUUCCCCCUCCCCCCACCAGCCUGCCCCCAGGCCACCUGCGCUUUCUGGUGGAGUGAGCUAGUACAUAUUUAUAGUGGCAGAGACUGUGGGAGCCCGGGGAAUAAAUAAAGCUGGGGACUUUGGGUGUGCUUCAUCCUCUGAAUUAAAUCCCUCUCCCACAGCCUGUAAGUCAGGAGGCUCCGAAUGCAGCCUCAACUACAAGCCCUUGAACUACUAGCCCAAGGAACAUGCUGUGUUGGGGUGUUAGAGCUGAGAGGCCCUUUCCACUACAGAUGAGGAAACUGAGGCCCAGAGAGAAGCAGGGGCUUGACCCAAGCAUUCUGACUCGAGGGGCCUCUGUGUGGGUCCAGGCGGGUCUGGCCACAUAGGCUCCCACUCCCCACCCCCCCAGGCAAGUGUGGACUCCGCCAACUUCAGCCACUCCUUUGAGUGCUGGGCUGCUUAGGAGGAAGUGGGUCCUAGGCAGCCCUUCUGGGUGUGAGAGACCAUCUGCUGAUGGCUGCUCCAUGCUCAAGGGCACGGGCAGCAUCUUCAGCCAAGGUCAUAGAGGGAAGUGCUCUCUGGAGCCCAUCCCUGAGAUCUCGACUGUGCUGCACGUUCUAGGAGGUGUCACCAGGCGCUGCUCCCAGGAGUCCAGAGAAAGUCUUGUGAGAUGGUUGUGCUGGGAAAAUGGUGCCAAGUCCCAUUUUAUUAUU